rnacentral:rRNA from 1 species
CCCUUAGAUGUCCUGGGCCGCACGCGCGCUACGCUGAGUGUCUGAGAUACGAGUCUGCCUAGCCGGCGAGGUCUAGGUAAUCGCUGAAAGACACAUCAUGCUUGGGAUAGAUUAUUGCAGAUAUUAAUCUUGAACGAGGAAUUCCUAGUAAGCGCAAGUCAACAGCUUGCGUUGAUUACGUCCCUGCCCUUUGUACACACCGCCCGUCGCUACUACUGAUUGGAUGUUUAAGCGAGGUUCUCGAACUGCUAGCGACUUAGCUUCGGUGAGGUCGCCGUGUGGGAAGUGAACCUAGCUUUGGUGUCUAGAGGAAGUAAAAGUCGUAUCA